UACGAAGGGGGCUAGCGUUGCUCGGAAUCACUGGGCGUAAAGCGCACGUAGGCGGCUUCUUAAGUCAGGGGUGAAAUCCUGGAGCUCAACUCCAGAACUGCCUUUGAUACUGAGUAGCUUGAGUCCGGGAGAGGUGAGGGGAACUGCGAGUGUAGAGGUGAAAUUCGUAGAUAUUCGCAAGAACACCAGUGGCGAAGGCGGCUCACUGGCCCGGUACUGACGCUGAGGUGCGAAAGCGUGGGGAGCAAACAGG
rnacentral:rRNA from 1 species